GUUAGAAUUCACAAACCUUAAGCAUACAAUCUGUUUGGCUAGCAGGAAAGUGACGAAGGAAGAAAGAAAAAUAAACUGAAUAAGAGAAUUUUAUUAAUCUCGAAUCACACCCUUACAUUCAAGCUUUCAUCAACUUAUAUUGCUGAUUAACAGAAGUAACAACCUCUGUAACAGCUGUCAAAUAACUAUUGGUUAAGCUAAGCUAAACAAUAACAAUCUAACUAAUUUGUCCAGCUCAGCUAUCCAGCUCAUCAAUCCUAGUCAAGUGAAUCUCAGCCAUUGAUCUGCUGCUGUUGAUUAAGCAUCUCAACACCCCUUCUCAAGCUUAAUGGUCGUGGAACAACAUUAAGCUUGUCUCUAUAGUAAUUAAAAAAAGAGUAAGCCAUAGGCUUUGUAAGCACAUCUGCAAUAUUCCACUCACUUGGUACAUACUUGAUCUCCACUUGUUUGCCCGUUACCUUUUCCCUUAUGAAAUGCACAUCCAACUCUAUGUGCUUGGUUUUGGCAUGAUAUACUGGAUUUGUUGCUAGUGCAGCUGCACCAUUGUUGUCACACCAGAUUAUUGGUAUUUGGCUACACUUCAGUUUAAGCUCUCCAAGUAAAGCUUGAAUCCAAACAAUUUCUGCACAAGCUGUUGACAAUGCUCUAUACUCUGACUCUGUGCUAGACCUUGCUACAGUUUGUUGCUUCUUGGAGGACCAUGAAACCAGAUUCUGCCCAAGAUAUACACAAUAUGCUCCAACUGACUUUCUGUCAUCCACAUCACACGCCCAAUCUGCAUCUGUAUAUGCUGUCAGACUAAUUCCAUCUCCUGCUUUAAACAUCAAUCCAUAAUCUUCAGUUGCCUUUAAGUAUCUUAGAAUUUUCUUACAAGCAACCCAGUGUUUCUCAGUUGGUGCAGCAAGAAAUUGGCUCAACUUAUUAACUGAAAAGGCAAGUUCUGGUCUUGUAAGUACCAAAUACUGUAAAGCACCUAUUAUGCUUUUAUACUCAGUGACAUUAACAAUCAAGUUAUCAUCAUUCCCUGCUCUUCUUAGUUUCUGUCCUGUACUCAUUGGAGUAUCACUUUCUCUGCAAUUUUCCAUAUCAGUUCUUGUAAGCAAAUCUCUUACAUAUUUUGCCUGUGAAAGAUGUAAGCUACCCUUUGCAUCAUGUGUAACCUCAAUACCAAGGAAGUAACUGAACUCACCAAGAUCUUUUAAAGCAAAGGUAUCUCCAAGGUAUUGGAUAAAUGUUUCAAUUACUGUAUUGUUAUCACCAGUAAUUAAUAUAUCAUCUACAUAUACUAACACAGCCACAAUACCUCCAAGUUCAUGUUUGAUGAACAAAGAUGAGUCUGCUUUGGAGUUCUGAAACCCCCACUGCAACAGUGCUUUCCUUAGCCUGUCAAACCAGGCUCUGGGAGCCUGUUUCAAACCGUAAAGAGCCUUAUGCAACUGACAAACAUGACCAGAUGGAGACUGAACAAAACCCUCAGGUUGAAACAUGUAGACAUCUUCAUUGAGCUCUCCAUUAAGGAAAGCAUUGUUGAUGUCGAUUUGUCUUAUUUUCCAGCCCUUCAUCACAGCAAGACUAAGGAUAAUUCUCACAGUUGACUGUUUAACUACUGGACUAAAGGUCUCAAAGUAGUCAAUACCAGCUGUUUGAUGAAACCCUUUUGCCACCAGCCGUGCUUUAUACUUAGAAACAGAACCAUCUGCAUUAUACUUAAUGCGAAAAACCCAUUUACACCCAACAAUUUUAGUAGCUUGAGAAGGUGGUACAAGAAUCCAAGUCUUAUUUUCCAUAAGUGCAUUAUACUCUGCCUGCAUGGCUGCUUUCCAUUUGGAAUCUGAAAGAGCUUGAGAAACUGUGGCAGGCUCUUGUUCUCCAAGAACAGAGGAAUAGGCAUGAAAUUUUGGCUUAAAUACACCUGCUUUGGCUCUUGUAAUCAUUGGGUGAUUUGGCAGUGAAACUUGAGUAGAGGAUGGUUGUUGAUUUGAAGUAUUUUGGGAUACAUAAGGAGAGGUGUGGGAGGGUGGAUGAUUUGAUUGAGAUGGUUGAAAUGGUUGAGAAGAAGGUGAUAAAGAACUAGAUGAGGAGGAAGAAGCUGAAGCUGCAGACAACUGAAAUGGUUGUAUAAUGGUGUUACUUGAGCCUGAAGGGUCAUGAAGUGGAACUGACACUGAAGAUACCUUAAACAUAGGAUAUCUAUAUUCAGAAGCAGAGGAAGAAGGUUGUUUAGAGAAAAGAGAGUCAGUAGAGAAAGGAAAUUCUGACUCAUUAAACACAACAUGCCUAGCAACAUAUACAACACCUUUUGAGCUUAGGCAUUUAUACCCUUUGUGAUCUGAGCUAUAACCAAUAAACAAACAUUUUGUAGUGUGAUAGUUGAAUUUGUGUUUGUUAUAGAAUCUCAGGUAUGGAAAACAGGAGCAGCCAAAAAACUUUAGAAAAUCAUAGUCAGGCUUGUGUUUGAAAAGAAUCUCAUAGGGAGAUUUAUUUGAUGGUAGAACAGAAGUUGGCAAUCGAUUGAUAAGAAAAGCAGAAGUUGAGAAUGCUUCCCACCAGAAACUGAGAGGUAAUUUAGCUUGUGCAAGAAGAGUCAAACCCAUCUCAACAAGAUGUCUAUGUUUCCUCUCUACUGUCCCAUUCUGGUGAUGUGUGUGAGGACAUGGAUGUCUGAAUAAAAUGCCAUGUUUUUGAAGAUAAGGCACAAAGGAUCUGAAUUCACCCUCCCAAUCUGACUGUAGGACCUUAAUGACUGUUUCAAAUUGUUUUUCAACUUGAGUUCGAAAAAUGGCAAAAACAGAUAAAGCUUGAGACUUGGUUUUCAAAGGAUAAACCCAGGCAUAUCUACUAUAAUCAUCAAUGAAACUGAUAUAGUAUCUAUAACCAUUGAGAGAAGUAAUGGGUGCUGGACCCCAUAAGUCAGUAUGGAUGAGUUCUAGAGGUGAGGUUGUUUUGUGUUCAGUUGCUCCAAAAUGCAGUUUAUGAACUUUGCCAUAUUGGCAGGCAUCACAAAAAUCAGGAAUUUGAAUUUUAUUGCUUAACUGCAAAUGUUUACAACUGGUGAGUACUUGUUUCAAGACUUUUGAACUAGGAUGACCAAGUUGCCUAUGUAGGAUAUUUAUUGAAGCACUGGAAACUCUACUGGAAUGAGACAACAGACACUGUUGAGAGGAGUGCUGAACAACUUUAGCUUGAAUAUUUGAAAAAGAACAAGACUGCAAACCAUCUGAGCAAUGUGACACCAUAGACAUAGGAACAAAACAUGACUCUUUAUUUACAGUUGAAAAUAAAGCUUGAUGAGUUUUACUUCCAGGCUCAAGUUUCAGCUUAUACAGACCCUUCAUAGCUACACCCUCCAGCAAAACUGUCCUCUUCUUCUUGUCCUUGAGAAAGCAAGUAUUUCCACAAAAUUCAAUGAUCAAGGAAUUAUCAGAAGUAAGCUUAGAAAUGCUUAAAAGAUUUUUAGUGAUGUGUGGCACAAAUAAAAGAUUUUUGAGCAAUAAUCUAUGAUUUCCAACUGCUAAAUAAGUGCUUCCUAUAUGAGAAAUAGUAAGGCCAUGUCCAUUACCAAUUAAAAGCUUUUCAUUACCUUCAUAAGGCUCACUGAUGCUGAGAUUAUUGAGAUCAUUGGUUAGGUGGUGAGUUGCUCCACUAUCCAGGUACCAGUCAUCAUCCAUUACUGCUUCUGGUGUUGCCAUAUAAGCUGACAUAUUUCUUUGAUUGUAGCCUUGAUUAAAAACUUGAUUUUGAUGUGGAUACCUUGUGACUGGAAUGAAAUCCUUGUUGAACCUAUCCUUGCAGGUAGCAGCAGUGUGUCCUAUAAUGAAGCACACUUGGUAUCUAGGUUGAUAUGGCUGUGAAAAAUGACCAGGCACAUGACUAGGCAUUUGAGUUCUCCCACCUUGAUUCCAAGAUCUUCCUCCAUGCAUGUUAUUUCCUCUUCCACCUUUCCUUCCUCGAUAGAAAUUUCCACCUUGAUUCCCUCUAAAAUUUCCUUGCAUCAUGUAUCCAGAAUUUUCAGAUCUUGAUGCAUUUUGAUUGAAACUAGAUCUUGAGUUGUAUGUUCCAAAACCUUUCUUAUUAUUGUUCCCUUUCUUAACAAAAUUUGCAGCAAACGCCAUAUUUGCAUCCAUAGUUUCAGCUAAAGCUUGUUGUUCUAACAUUCCCUCAUGUGUCAUUAACAUAGAGAGUGAUUCUGAUAAAUCGAGAUCUAAUCCUCUUCCUGUGAUCAAAACUGCUACAGGAUUGAAUUCUGAACCAAUUCCUCCUAACACACUCAUCAUAAAGUCAUAGUCACUCAUUGGUGCUCCUGCUGCUGCCAUGUUAUCUGCUAUGCCUUUCAUUUUGUGAAAAUAGUCAUAAACACUCAAAUCGUUCUUCUUUGUCAACAUCAUUUGAUUCUUCAGUUGCAAUGCUCUGGUUUUGUUUUGUGAGCCAGAAAGUUUUUCCAGAGCUUUCCAAACUUCAAAGGAAGUUUUGUAUCCGAGAACAAUUCCGAGAACACUCUCAGUCAUGGAAGAGAGUAGCCAACCUAGCAACUGCUGAUCAGUUCGCUUCCACAUCACAAACUCAGAGUUCGGAAUCCUCUGAUCUGUGCAUGGUGCUGUGAUUGAACCAUCAAUAUAUCCUUCUAAUCCAUUUCCCUGAAUGGAUGCCAAUACUUGCAUUUUCCAGAUCAAAUAAUUUGAUCUGUCGAGCUUAAUUGGUGUAGGAAAGGUAUAGGAAACAGUUGUGGUUUGAUUUAAGCUUGAUGAUGCCAUCUGGCUCUGAUACCAAGUUAGAAUUCACAAACCUUAAGCAUACAAUCUGUUUGGCUAGCAGGAAAGUGACGAAGGAAGAAAGAAAAAUAAACUGAAUAAGAGAAUUUUAUUAAUCUCGAAUCACACCCUUACAUUCAAGCUUUCAUCAACUUAUAUUGCUGAUUAAUAGAAGUAACAACCUCUGUAACAGCUGUCAAAUAACUAUUGGUUAAGCUAAGCUAAACAAUAACAAUCUAACUAAUUUGUCCAGCUCAGCUAUCCAGCUCAUCAAUCCU
rnacentral:lncRNA from 1 species